rnacentral:rRNA from 1 species
UGGCGGCGUGCUUAACACAUGCAAGUCGAACGAUGAUGCUCCAGCUUGCUGGGGUGGAUUAGUGGCGAACGGGUGAGUAACACGUGAGUAACCUGCCCUUCACUUUGGGAUAAGCCUUGGAAACGGGGUCUAAUACCGGGUAUGCACAUACUGUCGCAUGGUGGUGUGUGGAAAGCUUUUGUGGUGGAGGAUGGACUCGCGGCCUAUCAGCUUGAUGGUGGGGUAGUGGCCUACCAUGGCUUUGACGGGUAGCCGGCCUGAGAGGGUGACCGGCCACACUGGGACUGAGACACGGCCCAGACUCCUACGGGAGGCAGCAGUGGGGAAUAUUGCACAAUGGGCGGAAGCCUGAUGCAGCGACGCCGCGUGGGGGAUGAAGGCUUUCGGGUCGUAAACUCCUUUCAGCAGGGACGAAGCUUUUGUGACGGUACCUGCAGAAGAAGCACCGGCUAACUACGUGCCAGCAGCCGCGGUAAUACGUAGGGUGCGAGCGUUGUCCGGAAUUAUUGGGCGUAAAGAGCUUGUAGGCGGUUUGUCGCGUCUGCCGUGAAAGCCCAGGGCUUAACCCUGGGUCUGCGGUGGGUACGGGCAGACUAGAGUGUGGUAGGGGAGACUGGAAUUCCUGGUGUAGCGGUGAAAUGCGCAGAUAUCAGGAGGAACACCGAUGGCGAAGGCAGGUCUCUGGGCCACUACUGACGCUGAGAAGCGAAAGCAUGGGGAGCAAACAGGAUUAGAUACCCUGGUAGUCCAUGCCGUAAACGUUGGGAACUAGGUGUGGGCCUCAUUCCACGAGGUCCGUGCCGUAGCUAACGCA